rnacentral:rRNA from 1 species
UACGUAGGGUGCAAGCGUUGUCCGGAAUUAUUGGGCGUAAAGAGCUCGUAGGCGGUCUGUCGCGUCGGCUGUGAAAACUCGGGGCUCAACUCCGAGCUUGCAGUCGAUACGGGCAGGCUAGAGUUCGGCAGGGGAGACUGGAAUUCCUGGUGUAGCGGUGAAAUGCGCAGAUAUCAGGAGGAACACCGGUGGCGAAAGCGGCUUCCUGGUCCAGCACCGACGUUCAGGCACGAAAGCGUGGGGAGCAAACAGG